GGGCCCUUUCCGGAUUUAUUGGGCGUAAGCGAGCGCAGGCGGUUUCUUAAGUCUGAUGUGAAAGCCUUCGGCUCAACCGAAGAAGUGCAUCGGAAACUGGGAAACUUGAGUGCAGAAGAGGACAGUGGAACUCCAUGUGUAGCGGUGAAAUGCGUAGAUAUAUGGAAGAACACCAGUGGCGAAGGCGGCUGUCUGGUCUGUAACUGACGCUGAGGCUCGAAAGCAUGGGUAGCAAACAGGAUUAGAUACCCUGGUAGUCCAUGCCGUAAACGAUGAGUGCUAGGUGUUGGAGGGUUUCCGCCCUUCAGUGCCGCAGCUAACGCAUUAAGCACUCCGCCUGGGGAGUACGACCGCAAGGUUGAAACUCAAAGGAAUUGACGGGGGCCCGCACAAGCGGUGGAGCAUGUGGUUUAAUUCGAAGCAACGCGAAGAACCUUACCAGGUCUUGACAUCCUUUGACCACUCUAGAGAUAGAGCUUUCCCUUCGGGGACAAAGUGACAGGUGGUGCAUGGUUGUCGUCAGCUCGUGUCGUGAGAUGUUGGGUUAAGUCCCGCAACGAGCGCAACCCUUAUUACUAGUUGCCAGCAUUUAGUUGGGCACUCUAGUGAGACUGCCGGUGACAAACCGGAGGAAGGUGGGGACGACGUCAAAUCAUCAUGCCCCUUAUGACCUGGGCUACACACGUGCUACAAUGGAUGGUACAACGAGUUGCGAGACCGCGAGGUUUAGCUAAUCUCUUAAAACCAUUCUCAGUUCGGAUUGUAGCUGCAACUCGCCCUACAUGAAAGCCGGAAUCGCUAGUAAUCGCGGAUCAGCAUGCCGCGGUGAAUACGUC
rnacentral:rRNA from 1 species